rnacentral:rRNA from 1 species
ACGGCGUCGAGCGGCGGACGGGUGAGUAAUGCCUAGGAAAUUGCCCUGAUGUGGGGGAUAACCAUUGGAAACGAUGGCUAAUACCGCAUGAUGCCUACGGGCCAAAGAGGGGGACCUUCGGGCCUCUCGCGUCAGGAUAUGCCUAGGUGGGAUUAGCUAGUUGGUGAGGUAAGGGCUCACCAAGGCGACGAUCCCUAGCUGGUCUGAGAGGAUGAUCAGCCACACUGGAACUGAGACACGGUCCAGACUCCUACGGGAGGCAGCAGUGGGGAAUAUUGCACAAUGGGCGCAAGCCUGAUGCAGCCAUGCCGCGUGUGUGAAGAAGGCCUUCGGGUUGUAAAGCACUUUCAGUCGUGAGGAAGGUGGUGUAGUUAAUAGCUGCAUCAUUUGACGUUAGCGACAGAAGAAGCACCGGCUAACUCCGUGCCAGCAGCCGCGGUAAUACGGAGGGUGCGAGCGUUAAUCGGAAUUACUGGGCGUAAAGCGCAUGCAGGUGGUUUGUUAAGUCAGAUGUGAAAGCCCGGGGCUCAACCUCGGAAUAGCAUUUGAAACUGGCAGACUAGAGUACUGUAGAGGGGGGUAGAAUUUCAGGUGUAGCGGUGAAAUGCGUAGAGAUCUGAAGGAAUACCGGUGGCGAAGGCGGCCCCCUGGACAGAUACUGACACUCAGAUGCGAAAGCGUGGGGAGCAAACAGGAUUAGAUACCCUGGUAGUCCACGCCGUAAACGAUGUCUACUUGGAGGUUGUGGCCUUGAGCCGUGGCUUUCGGAGCUAACGCGUUAAGUAGACCGCCUGGGGAGUACGGUCGCAAGAUUAAAACUCAAAUGAAUUGACGGGGGCCCGCACAAGCGGUGGAGCAUGUGGUUUAAUUCGAUGCAACGCGAAGAACCUUACCUACUCUUGACAUCCAGAGAACUUUCCAGAGAUGGAUUGGUGCCUUCGGGAACUCUGAGACAGGUGCUGCAUGGCUGUCGUCAGCUCGUGUUGUGAAAUGUUGGGUUAAGUCCCGCAACGAGCGCAACCCUUAUCCUUGUUUGCCAGCGAGUAAUGUCGGGAACUCCAGGGAGACUGCCGGUGAUAAACCGGAGGAAGGUGGGGACGACGUCAAGUCAUCAUGGCCCUUACGAGUAGGGCUACACACGUGCUACAAUGGCGCAUACAGAGGGCGGCCAACUUGCGAAAGUGAGCGAAUCCCAAAAAGUGCGUCGUAGUCCGGAUUGGAGUCUGCAACUCGACUCCAUGAAGUCGGAAUCGCUAGUAAUCGUGGAUCAGAAUGCCACGGUGAAUACGUUCCCGGGCCUUGUACACACCGCCCGUCACACCAUGGGAGUGGGCUGCAAAAGAAGUAGGUAGUUUAA